UACACUGGCUUCUGUUGAUAAUAUCAGUCAUUGAUUUCUGUUUGUCUAUUCUCAGUAAAGAGAUAGAAGUGUGAUUUUGUAAUUCUCCAUAUAAUACCAACUCAGUAUAAAAAUUAAAUAUUUAUUAAUAUUUAUAUUAAAAUUUCCUCUAGCAGGCUGAACAGUUUGGUUUAAAUGUCAAUCUAACCUCGUCAAGUUAACCAAAAGUUUAAUUCAGUUUCAAUAGUUUGAUCUAAGUAUCAAAUUCGUCUCAUAAGUUUCGAUUCAAGCUUCAAAUUUUGAAGUCGCCUUUGGCGUGGGUGACAAUAUUGCGCGGGUUGGAAUCACCUACUUUCCUCCCUAGAUACGUAAAGUAUUCCCAUUUUUCAAUCAAAAUCGACAUCUUCGUAUGCAGAUACAUUUUGGUAUUGAGGAUGGAAAGAAGAUAGAAUCAGCCGAUAUACAUUUGCAAGUAGCCAGAGACACCUAUAUUCAUGCAUAAAAUAUUGGCAAUAUCGUAUCGAUUGACCGUCUGACUGCAGCGUUUUCGUUCCUCUUUUCUUAUUUACUUCAUGCAUAUUUUACCGGACCUUUAUGUAGUUAUGCAGGAUUAUGCUACGUUCAACUGCCUGGCAUAGAAUUACACCUCCGAUAUCUUAUUUUAAUUUUAGCCAAUUCGUUGUCUUUUGACAGUUAGUAAGUUUCUCAUUUCUCGUUUCCGUUCUUCAGUGUUAUUCAAAGAGAUAGACAUUGAUUACUCUUAUUAUUUUAUCACUAUUAAUACAGAGUUAGCUAAAGUUGUUCAAGUGACAUCACGAUUAAUAAUGAUGAAAUUAACAAUGAUCUUUUCAAUUGUCUUAUUUAACUUUUCAAUGUUGAUUUUUUUCUUUUCACUAUUAAUAAAUGUUAAUGCAAAGUAUGUUCAGAUAGUAAAUGAUGUAAACUUAAGCAAGCUAUGUUUAUUCAUCUUAACCUGCCAACUUUUCUUUUAGAAAA